rnacentral:rRNA from 1 species
UCGAGCGAGGGUUUGCUCAGUAUUGAGUAUUCUAAAACUAGAAUGUUCAAUUCUGAGCAAAACCAAGCGGCGGACGGGUGAGUAACGCGUGGGUAACCUGCCCUAUACACAUGGAUAACAUACUGAAAAGUUUACUAAUACAUGAUAAUAUAUAUUUGCGGCAUCGCAGAUAUAUCAAAGUGUUAGCGGUAUAGGAUGGACCCGCGUCUGAUUAGCUAGUUGGUGAGAUAACUGCCCACCAAGGCGACGAUCAGUAGCCGACCUGAGAGGGUGAUCGGCCACAUUGGAACUGAGACACGGUCCAAACUCCUACGGGAGGCAGCAGUGGGGAAUAUUGCACAAUGGGCGAAAGCCUGAUGCAGCAACGCCGCGUGAACGAUGAAGGUCUUCGGAUCGUAAAGUUCUGUUGCAGGGGAAGAUAAUGACGGUACCCUGUGAGGAAGCCCCGGCUAACUACGUGCCAGCAGCCGCGGUAAUACGUAGGGGGCUAGCGUUAUCCGGAUUUACUGGGCGUAAAGGGUGCGUAGGUGGUCCUUCAAGUCGGUGGUUAAAGGCUACGGCUCAACCGUAGUAAGCCGCCGAAACUGGAGGACUUGAGUGCAGGAGAGGAAAGUGGAAUUCCCAGUGUAGCGGUGAAAUGCGUAGAUAUUGGGAGGAACACCAGUAGCGAAGGCGGCUUUCUGGACUGCAACUGACACUGAGGCACGAAAGCGUGGGUAGCAAACAGGAUU